rnacentral:rRNA from 1 species
AUUGAACGCUGGCGGCAGGCUUAACACAUGCAAGUCGAGCGGGGGAAGGUAGCUUGCUACCGGACCUAGCGGCGGACGGGUGAGUAAUGCUUAGGAAUCUGCCUAUUAGUGGGGGACAACAUCUCGAAAGGGAUGCUAAUACCGCAUACGUCCUACGGGAGAAAGCAGGGGAUCUUCGGACCUUGCGCUAAUAGAUGAGCCUAAGUCGGACUAGCUAGUGUGUGGGGUAAAGGCCUACCAAGGCGACGAUCUGUAGCGGGUCUGAGAGGAUGAUCCGCCACACUGGGACUGAGACACGGCCCAGACUCCUACGGGAGGCAGCAGUGGGGAAUAUUGGACAAUGGGGGGAACCCUGAUCCAGCCAUGCCGCGUGUGUGAAGAAGGCCUUAUGGUUGUAAAGCACUUUAAGCGAGGAGGAGGCUACUUUAGUUAAUACCUAGAGAUAGUGGACGUUACUCGCAGAAUAAGCACCGGCUAACUCUGUGCCAGCCGCCGCCGUAA